GCAGUGGUGGUUUGGUGGUAGAAUACUUGCCUUCUGUACAAGAGCCCCAGGUUCAAUUCCAACCACUGCA
rnacentral:tRNA from 1 species